CCUACAAGUUAAAUAACAUGUUUGUGAGAAACUGAAACAGAAUCGCCUUUCUUAAGAUGACCAUUAAGCAAGUACUUGGGUAUGUUUUUAAUUUCCGAUACAUUCUGCCAUUUUGACAACAAUGAAUAUUUUUAUACUGGAAGAAAGAAGUUACAAAAUUCUUUAUACUUCUGGCUGUAUAGAAGAGAAAUACUAAGAACAUACUCUUUAGCCACCAUUGAAUUAGUUUGAGACUGUUUCUAAGAUUCUUCCUUGGCAAAUUGUUCAAGAUUGCAAGCUUCUCGAGGAAAUGGCAUCCUUUUACAUUUGAAUACUUUUAGAACAAUGAGAGUUUUGAAAUAAAGUAGAUAUUUUGUAUCACAAAUAUUUUACUACUUUUUGUUAAAUCAUACUUCAACCAAUGUAAUUAAAAUCCUUUGGUUUGGUUUGGUUUGGUUUGGUUUGGUUUGGUUUGGUUUGGUUUGGUUUGGUUUGGUUUGGUUUGGUUUUUGCAAAUAUUGUAGGUUUGAAUUAUUUAUUUAACGUAUUUGCACACUGCAUGCUCCCAACAAAGCCAGCCCACAGUGGUCUGUAACACUAAUAGUAGAUCUGAAAAUAUACUAUAACAAGUGUCAUAAACAUAGUAACAUCAUACAAUCAGAAGGAAAAAAGCACAGAAACAUGUCAUUAAUAUUAAAAGUUCAGGACAGCAGAUUAAAACAAACCACAUGAAAUAUAAAAAGCAGGUUUUAAAAAUUUUCCUAAGACACCACAGAACAGUCUAAUCAAAUUAUUAAUGGAGAGAAUUCCAUAGCAUUGAAGCCACUACCAAAAAAACUGUGGUCCCAGUAGACUGCACCUAAACCUGUUUUGGGGCUGGCAUAUGCAGAAGGUCUUCUGGUGAAUACAACUCCUGGUACAUACGGAGAAAGCUGUUCCUUCAAAUAGAAAGACUCAAAGAAGAGGUACAACUGAUAAAGCAUGUCCAAUUGCCAAUGUGCUGACCUGAGCAAUCAAGGACAGCACAGGAUCAAAAUGUACCCCCAAACUAGGCACCUAAUCCUCUUGGGAAAAAUAGCCCCAUUCAGGACAGGAAAAUCCCCUUCCAGCUGAUUGAGGCAUCCCUAGUCAUCAAUCCUGUUCACUUGUCUGGAUUCAGUUUCAACUUAUUGUACCUCAACCAAUAUGCAAUCUGGUCCAAGCAGGAAUCAGUCAAGGAGUUUGACAUUGAUGAAAAAGAAUAGUCCUGAGUGUCAUCCAUAUAAAUGUAGCACCUACUGUGAUUACAUAUAGAUGUUGAGUAUCGGAGGGGAUAGGACAGAAUUCUGUGGCAUUGCACAACUUGAGCUGCAAUAAGGAAAAGUAAUCCUCCUGUCCUUUUGGAACCUAUUUUCAAGGUAGAACCAAAACCACAACAGAGUUGUGGUCCUCCCUCCCAGCCAGCUCUUUAGCUUUAGUUCAAAAUCUGAGAUCAAGGACUAUAAGCAAAGACUAUCCUGUUCCUUCAGUAAUGGCAACCAAAGCCAUCUCCAUACCAUGAUCUAGUCUGAAAUCAGAUUGAACAGCUUUAGAAAAUCAGUUUCAUUCUGGAACACUUGGAGUUGAUUUGCCACCAUUCUUUCAACUAUUUUGAUGAGGGAUGUUAAAUUCACAAUUCACUAUUAGCCUAAAGCUGUUUUAAUGGGGUGGGGGGCAUCUAUUCAUUGUUUUUUCAGGAGGAGACAUAUUCCCCACCUCCUUUAAAAUAGAUGAUGUUUCACACCUAUUGAGGGAGACAUUGUUGAUCAAACAUAACACAUCCUUCAACCAAUCCUUCCUGGCCAGUAUCAGUCAAGAGGGAGCUGGGCCCAAACUCAUCCAAGCAUCUUGUCCACAUACUAAAGCUUUCGGAGUCAAAGGUACUAGGCGACCUUCCAGAGCCUAAUCAGAUUGGGUCAGCCCCUACUCCACUCAGAAUGGGUCCUUUGAAUGAUGAUCAGAUAAAGCAGAAGUGAAGAAAAACACUUGCCAGAAAGUCGGCUUUCCAAUGAAUUCUAAGCUGUACUCAGCCAUAUUUGCUUUUAGACUUAUGCCAUCAACAAACUGUCUCCCUGCAUGUUUCAUCAUCUGCAGAUCUCCAAUAAACCAAGGAAACCUUGAAAGCCUAGCCAGCAAUCAUUCCAGUUACCAAGACUUGGAUUGAAGGAUUAGGGCCAUCAGUAAACCUCCCUCCAAGUGAGUUCUAGAAUUCUAUCAGAUACAGAGAAUGCUAAGGAUGGAUCAUCUGAUCUGGCUCAGCCCCUUUGCAGGCAAGGGCCAGCCAACUACUAUAAUCUGACCGAGCAGUCAUCCGUCAUUGACAAAACACUCAGUUCUGGCCCCUCUAACCACUUAUCAUUUUUGCCACAAAACACCCAGAUCUAUAGGAUGUCCUGCCUGAUGAGUAAAGGCAGAUAUUGUGAGACAGACCAAUAAUAGUCACGAAAGACCAGACUCGGUAUAAAUAAAAAGUUUUGGAACUCCCCAAACCACUUCCAAGACCAAUUUUACCAGCUCAGGCAGAGAUAGUUUCGGACAUGGGGCUCAUAGUAUACCAGCAGGUACCCCAAUCUGUCUCACCCUCCAAGUUCUGAUAACCACACUCCAAAUCUUUAUAUGACUUUGUUCUUUCAUGCAGAAACCUGGUAGGAGAGUCUAGCUCAGAUGACUUCAUCCAAUUCCCCCAAUCAGAUCUCAGUCACACAAACCAGUUCAACUCACUGGCCUGGAUCAAGUAACCUAGGAGGUGGAUCUUUGUCAUCAGCAGCAGGCACUGACCAAGAAAAGAGAAGAAAUAAGAGGCUUACUAAUCAGCCUCCCCACCUUCCCUUGGUUGAUGACUGGGCCAGAUAUUGAGCAUCAGGCCUACUGAAUUUCCCCAUACUACAGGAGCUGUCAGUCAAAUGACCAUUCCUCUGUAAACACUUUUAUAGAUAAAGUGAAAAACCCACCAGAUAAAACUAUUUUCAACCUAUCCAGCCAUCUCAACAAUCAAAUCAAAUAAACACACACCCAACUACCCACCCUCAUUCAUAAUCUACAGUUAGUUUUAAUACAUUACAGCUCUGUGAUAACUUCUACCAAAUGAUAAUCUGAAAACAAGAAUCCCCAUGCCCAUUUCUCUUCUUCAGUUCUUUCAACAAUGAUAGGCAAUGUUGUAGUUCAGUGGUUCUCAAGCAUUUUGGCCUCAGUACCCUUUUACAUUCUUAAAAAUGAUUGAGGACCCCAAAGAGCUUUGGUUAUGUGAGUUCUAUUGAUAUUUACUAUAAUAGAAAUUAAACCUGAGAAGAUUUAAAAUGUUUGGCUUUGUGGACCCAUUGGGUCCACACUUUGAGAACCACUGUUCUAGUUCUUAACCACAAUGUCCACACAUCUUCAAACAUCAAAGUUCUUCCUUCCAGCUUUGAAAUAAAGUAUUCUAUAUUAUUUACAAGCAUUUUACUGUUUAUGCUAAAACCUACUAGGAAAUUGAUUUAAAACACCAUGGGGAUUUUUUGCAAAUAUUUGUAGUAAGGUAUGACAUUGUAGAGUUAAACAAUUCUAAGUAUUAUCAAAUGUGUUUUCAGAAUAUGAU